rnacentral:lncRNA from 1 species
AGCCCUGCACAACUCACGUUUUCAAUUACAUGAGCCACCGCAGUCCAGUUGGCACGCUUCUGUUGAUUGUAAGAGUCCACAGGCUGGCUCACACCAGGAUUCUCCAGUCUUGAGGUCUGAGCAUGAGGCAGUUUUGGAGGUGAGAAUGGCGUAGUGCUCUGUUUAUUACUGAUCAUGGUUUUGUCUAUUGGAUCUCUUUUUGGGCCUUGAGCUGGUUCUGGUUCUUCGGCCACCUUCCCUGCAUCCUGCAGAAUGAAAUUAAUUAAUCAAUCUUUAAAAUGAUUUUGUAUGAGAGAAAGAAGAGGAACUAAUGAGAGCUUCUGGUACUUCGGAUGGUUCAGAGUGAAUAGUAGGGUUUGCAGUGCGACCAGUGGAUGCAAAUAGUUGACUUAAAGUUUGACUUCGAGCGGAAACAAUUGCAGAGCCCG